AAAGUUUCUUGCGAAGAAGGUCUAGCCAAUCACUUUGGCCUCCGACGGAGGGACGAAUGCGGUAACGCGAGCGUUCUAAACGUCCGUGCAGGGGGAAGCGUAGGCCAGCUAAUUGAGCUGCCCAGUGUUCAUUGAAGCAUGGCAGAUAGGUCCGUAGUACCGUCGACGCGGGUGAACAAAGCUGCGACGGCAGUGGCGGAGUC
rnacentral:ncRNA from 1 species